rnacentral:rRNA from 1 species
UACGUAGGGUGCAAGCGUUGUCCGGAAUUAUUGGGCGUAAAGAGCUCGUAGGCGGUUUGUCGCGUCGAAUGUGAAAACCCGGGGCUCAACCCCGGGCCUGCAUUCGAUACGGGCAGACUAGAGUUCGGUAGGGGAGUCUGGAAUUCCUGGUGUAGCGGUGAAAGGCGCAGAUAUCAGGAGGAACACCGGUGGCGAAGGCGGGACUCUGGGCCGAUACUGACGCUGAGGAGCGAAAGCGUGGGGAGCAAACAGG